GUUUCUAUAAUUUCUUCUUUAACUAAAUGGUUUUGGAGUAUCAUAUUGUUUAAUUUCCAAUUGGUUUUUGAUUUGGUUUUCCAUGUACCAUUACUAAUCAUUAUUUUUAUUGCCUUGUGAUCUGAGAAGGCUGCAUUCAUUAUUUCUGCUUUUCUGCAUUUGUGUGCUAUGUUUCUGUGACCUAAUGUAUGGUCAAUUUUUGUGAAUGUGCCAUGUGGUGCUGAGAAGAAGGUGUAUUCCUUUUUAUCCCUAUUUAUUUUUCUCCGUAUGUCUAUUAAUUCUAAUUUUUCUAAGAUUUCAUUCACUUCUUUUACUCUUUCUUAUUUAUUUUUUGAUUUGAUUUAUCUAAAUUUGAUAAUGGUUGGUUUAAGUCUCCCACUAGUAUGGUUUUAUUGUCUAUUUCUUCCUUCAAUUCUCCUCGUUUCUCCAUUAGAAAUUUGGGUGCUAUAUUAUUUGGUGCAUACAUGUUGAUUAAUGAUAUUUCCUCAUUGUCUAGAGUCCCUUUUAACAAAAUAUAAUUACCUUCCCUAUCCCUUUUGAUCAGGUCUAUUUUUGCUUUGACUUUUUCAGAUAUCAUGAUUACCACUCCUGCCUUCUUUCUAUCAGUUGAGGCCCAGAAGGUCUUACUCCAUCCUUUAAUUCUGACCUUGUGGGUGUCAACCCGCCUCAUGUGUGUUUCUUGAAGACAACAUAUGGUAGGGUUUUGGAUUCUAAUCCAUUCUGCUAUUCAUCUACGUUUUAUGGGUGAGUUCAUCCCAUUCAUGUUCAAAGUUAUGAUUGUCAUUUGUGGACUCCCUGGCAUUUUGAUAGCCUUCCCUAAUUCUAACCUUUUCUUCUUUGGCUCUACCUUUUAGUCCAGUGAUUUACUUUGAAUCAGUCCCCCUUGUCCCCUCCCUUGAUGUUUCCCUUUUUAUUCCCUCCCUUUUGGUUCCCUCCCCCUCCCCCCUCUCUUUCCCUCCCUUUUUGUUCUCCCUCUCCCCCUCCUCCCCUUGGUUUUCCCAUCUCCCUACCCUUGUUGGGUAAGAUAGAAUUCAAGAUCCCAAUGGAUCUGGAUGUUUUUCCCUCUCAGAGUUGAUUUCCCUGAGAUUGAGGUUUAAGUAAAAAAAAAACCCUCUCUUCCUCUCCUUCUUAUAGGAGUUUUCUUCCCCUCCCCUUCCCAUUUGAAUCUUUGUGUGAGACCGAUUAUUCUAUUUGGUCUUUCUUUACCCCCUAUUUAUACAUUACAUUUUCCCCACAUAUUAGUAUACAUAGAUUGAUAUAAAUGUAGUCCUUAUAGAAGAGUUUGAGUAAAAGAAGAAGAUAACAUUUUUCCCCUUUCCUUAAUAUUUACCUUUUCAGGUAUUCCUUGCUCUUUGAUUUUCGGUAUCAAACUUUCCACAGAGCUCUGGUCUUUUCUUUGCAAAAAGUUGGAAUUCUUCUAUUUUGUUGAAUGCCCAUACUUUCCCUUGGAAGUAUAUAGUCAGUUUUGCUGGGUAGCUGAUUCUUGGUUGGAGACCCAGCUCUCUUGCCUUUCUGAAGAUUAUGUUCCAUGCCAUACGAUCAUUCAGAGUAGAACUUGCAAGGUCUUGUGUGACCCUGAUUGGCAUUCCUUUAUAUCUAAAUUGUCUUUUUCUAGCUUCCUGUAGGAUUUUUUCUUUUGUUUGAUAGCUUUGGAAUUUGGCAAUUACAUUCCUGGGAGUUUUCUUUUGGGGGUUUAGUGUAGAAGGUGUUCUGUGAGCUCUGUCAGUGGCUGUAUUGCCCCCUUGUUCUAGAAUCUCUGGGCAAUUUUCUUUGAUUAUAUCUUGUAUCACCAUGUCCAGUUUGGUGUUUAUUUCUGGCUUUUCUGGGAGUCCAAUUAUUCUUAAACUAUCUCUUCUCCCUCUAUUUUCCAGAUCUGUCAUCUUGUCGGUGAGAUAUUUUAUGUUCUCUUCUAAUUUCUUGGUAUUUUGGCUUUGCUUUAUUAAUUCUUGCUCUUUUACACGAUCGUUGUCUUCCAGCUGCCUGAUUCUGGCGUUUAAAGCCUGGUUUUCCUUUUCAGUUUCAUUGUACCGGUUUUGUAGAUGCGUGAAUUUCUUUUGCAUUAUUUCCAACUUUUCCUCCCAGAUGCUUCCAUCUUUUUGGUCAUUUCUGAUUCAAAUUCUUCAUGGGUUUGUGGUGAGUUUCCAUUUCCUUUGGAAGAUUUUGGGGCAUUUUCUUGUAUAUCUUCUAUCUCCUCUGUAUUUUGUAUUUUGCCUCCAUAGAAUGUGUCCAAAGUCGCCCCUUUCUUCUUAUUUUUCUUGGUAUUUUGGGGCUUCUGUGCUUCUGUGGAGUUUGCCAUCUCUGAAUGUGGAGGAUUAGUUUUUCUUAUCUCUAUCUGGUGUUAAGAGGCUUUAGUCCUGGGCAGAUUGUCGGUUCUAUGAGCUUUCCCUGGGUUAAACUGAAUAUGCCUCACUGGAACUGGAAUGGAAGUGUCUGACCAGGAGGCCACACUCUCCCCCGGGCUCUCUGGGUCUGGUUGCUUUCCGGAAGUUGUCUUCAGAAUAGCUGGCCAUGAGGCUGUUUCGUUGGCCUGCGGGGGGAUGGGCUGCGGCUUCCUGGAGCUCCAAGGGCAGGGACUUUCACUGAGACUUGGAUAGCAGGAUCCAGCCCGUGAGGCUGUCUUGCCAGCCCUGAGGGUUAAUGUUGUUUCGACCCUGCUCUCUUCCGGGGGAGCUCCGAGGGCAGUGACUUUCACUGGGACUCGUAUAGAAGGCCCUGAGAGUUGUUGUUCCAACGACCCUGCUCUCUGAGCGGGGCGGGGCUGCGGCUUCCUGGAGCCUUGGACUCUGCGCUCCUACCCCUUAGGUCCGAGUGAUCUCGGGUUCUGGCUUUUGAUUGGGGCCAUACCUUCUGAUCUGGGUCCAGGUCCAGGAGGAGGGUUCCCAGGGUCUAUGCUGUUGAAUGUCUUGAAUAUCGGCGCCUUUGGAGCUUAUAGUUUGAGAUCGGUCGGGAAGGGUUUUCCGGAGAUCUGAACUUUAGCUUUCUCCACGCUGCCAUCUUGACCGGAAGUCCAGUUCAAUUCUAAUUUUAAGGAGUUUUCUUCCUUGAGUUCUUGGGUUUCCUUUUCUACUUGGCUGUCUUUUCUUUAAGGGGUUGUUUUCUUCAUGUUUUGUUUUUUUGGUUUUGUUUGUUUUGGUUUUGGGGUUUUUUUUUUUGCCUCUAUUCCCAUUUUGUGGAUUCAAUUAAUUAGGAAGUUUUUUUCUUCAAUGAUUUUUCCCCCCAGCUGUUGAGUUUUUCAAUUAGUUCCCUUAUAUUUUUAAACUUCUUCCUGGGAUUCUUUUUAAGAUCUAAACUCCUUGCCCACUUUCUUUUGAGGCUUCACAUGUCUCCUUUAUGGCAUUUUUGUCCUCUUCUGAGUCCAUAUAUUGAUCUUCCUUGUCACUAAAGUUCCUUUCCCAGGUCAGUUUUUUCUUUUUUUUACUUGUUUUUCCAUUUUUUCUUUCCUUUGUAACCAUAUUUAUCUUUUGAGAUCCUUCUCUGUUCCUGGAGUAAAAGGGUAUAUUGUUCUAAGAUUACAGAGUACUCUUCUCUGGUAUUUGGUGUAGGACUAGCUGCCCUUGUUCCUCGUGGUUUGUCUGUCACGGAGACAGCAGUACUGGCAUGUUCUGGGGAGGUUGGCAACUGUUUCAUCCAAGUAUAUUUAGCAUAAUGAGUUACCAGUUCUCCCAUUGUUUUGUGGGUUAAUCUGGUCCCCACUAUGCUGCUUCACUGCCCCUACCAAGUAGCCUGGGUGGAGAAGGCUCCCUGCUUUGAUUUCUACUGCCCCAGGCUUUCCCCCACCACAUAGAAGUAAGCAAAUUACUUCACUGUAGUUCUAGUUCCCCCUUCUUGCAUCCCUGUAACCUCAAGAUUCUUUUGCUAUUUGGGAGUGGAUAGUUCAUUGUUAAUUCUAGUUCCAUCUUUACUCCUUUGGAGUCCCAAGGCUCUGAUGUCACAUGAGUGUUUGAAGGUUCCUUACCUUCUCUACCUGUAUAGAGUGACUCCAGCUGGGUUCCAAGAUCUGCCAGUACUAUCAGAUUGCUCUCUUCUCUUACCUACAGUGAGAUGUUCCUCAAACUUUUCUUUGUUUUGAGGCAAUUUGUUUUCUUUUGUUUUUGCAUUGAGGAAAUGGAGUGCCUUUUCUUCCUACAUCUUAUCUUUCAGCAUGCAACUUUUGUCUUCAUGCAAAAUCUGAAUAAAAGUGAAGAGGGCAGUUCUAAAGAGAGGAAGCUGCUGAGGUAUCUAUACACAUAAAUGUACAUAUACACAUAUGUACCCAUAUAUACAUCCAUAUAUAGAUAUACAUAUCUAUAUGUCUGUACAUAUAUGCAUGUGUGAGCAUAGAAUGGCUUCCACAUUUUAAAGAUUUUUUUCAUAGAGAUUGAAAAUGUUUUUUUUACCAAGAACUCCUUGACAGCAGAGAUUGACUUUUUUGUCUUUUUCUGUAUCCUUGGUGCUGUACCUGGAACACUUGAGGCACUUACUAAUGAUUGUUGACUUAUUCAAAACCUAGGAUUUGUUUUUUUAAGAAAUAUUAUCUAUAAAAAGAAGAAUGUGCAUUUUUGAAAGACUUUCAAGUUUUUGAACUAUAACACUCAAGGAUGAGAUAGAACACUUUAUUAUCCCUAUUACUACAAGAGGAAACUAAGAAUCACAGCUGAUGAUUACCUUUGGCUUAUAUGUUUCUGUGCCAAGAAUAAUCCCAUGUGUCUUACCACAAAGUUUAUACUCUGCCUGAUUAUAAGUAAAUUUUCUAGGAAAAAGAAACAUAUAGACAUACACACACACACACAGACAAAACACAAAUACACAUACAAAUGGUAUCUAGGCUGCUGCACGAACUGAAGCUAGUGAGGGGGAAAAAGAUUGCAAAAACAGAAAAUUACUCAUGAAUUUAUAAAUUACUUAUAGUUAAGAUCAACGCUGCCAUACUCUUAAGAGAUGUGCAUUAUACAAUGUAACAUGUAUCUGAUUUCUUUUAAUGUAAAAUACUCUCUGUAAGGCAUAUUAUCUUGUUUUAUCUUCAUGACAACUCUGUGGUGGAGGUUACAUAAAUAAUACUUUCCAGAUUUUACAGAAAACAAAAGAAAGGAAGAUUCUGGGAAAAAGACACUACUUGUUCAAGUACACCCAGCUAGUAAAUGGACAAGCCAAGAUUCUGUGGGAAGAAUGCAUUGUCACUUUAAAGAUAUAUUACAGAAUCCAAAUUGUAAGAAGGAAUGGAAUACAUUCUCUCCCUAGUUAAUCUGUGUCACCCUAAGAUUUUAUUAAGAGUGGGACUCACUCUAAUUCCCUACUUAAACUGAAUGUGUAAACUCUAGCUUGAGUCUCUAGCUGCCUUUCUAAUGAGACUCACCAUCACCUUUGUCAGAGUUAUGCAGAAAGUGAGGCAGGUCAAGAUUCUUUUGAGAAAAAUGAGGUGGGGGGAGGAUUCAGUCUAUUUCGCCUUCUGCAGAUUUGACUAUACCAUUUACUAGCUGUUUGGAACUUUGAACAACUUACUUAACUACUCAUGUUCUUUAAAUCUCAUAUGAAAAGUGGUACUGUGAGAACACCAAUCUGACCUUUUGGUGUACAUAGUUUCAAAGGAGAAAUGCUUGGAAAAAAUAUUGGACAAAUUAAAUAAAGAAGUAUUAUAUAUACAUUUACAUAUACAUAUACAUAUAUACAUAUUCUGAAAAGAAUGAGUUCCACAUACCAACCAGUGAAGUUUUUUAAAGAAUACAGUUCUUUCAGAACAAAAAUGACACAAUAGAGAAAAGAGAAAUGGAUCCUAUUUUGACUCUGGCAAAGGUACAGGUAAAUUUAGAAGAAAGAAUGCCCAGGUGCCAAGAAAAGGAAAAGAUCAUGAAAAAGUGGUUGUAAUGGAACAGAGAGUAUAUUAUAGAACAGAGAUGAUGUUAUAAGCAUCAGUGUUUGAUAUUAAUAAACAUUCUAAUCACUGACAUAGAUAAAAAAUAGAUUCCAUAUGAAAUUUGCAAAUAACUUGUUUUAGCUAUAAUUUUCCCAAACCUAGUACAAUGGAAAAAUAUAUUUUUGAAUGUUUUAAAUGAAUAUUAUUUUAGAUAUAUCUGUAUCUAUCUCUUUCGAUCUAUAUGACUGUCCAUCUAAAUUUAACUGUUGGCAAAUAAGUUAGAGAUGGCUUCCUUUCUUAGCUAUAGAUGUUAGACAACCUAUAUAGAUGUUAGACAACCUAUCUAUAUAGAAGGUUCAUUAGAAAUCACUUUCUUGGGUGUCAUCAUUUACCUGAAUUUGUCUGGUAUUGUGAAUAUGACAACUUUUGGAGCAUCAUUGCCAUUGCUAACAGUAGGCAAUCUGGUUCAGCCUUUUGAGUCUGGGGUGAAUGAGUCACAGUGGGAAAGUGGAUGAUGCACUUCAGGGGCUGUUAUUUUUUUGGCUGCUGAGUACCAUUAUUAUGGUGAUAUGUUCAGUUGGUGUUCAGGGAGGGUUAGGACCUCUACUGUGAGAGCUUGCUGAAUGCUUUUCAGGGCUGCUUAUCCCCGUUUGGUGUCUACCUCUUUCCCAGCUCUUACCUGUGGCUCCAAGCUAUAGUUUUCAGCAGCAGCCUGUUAAAACUGUCCAGGCAGAUGGGUUGAGCUUGGGUUUAUGUCUAACUCUAGGCUUGUGAAGACCUCUCCUGCGAGAACAGAUGGAUGAGGCAAUUUGUUUCAGUAGCCAUGAAGGUGGCUGAAGCAAACACUUUCGAGUGCUUAAAACUUGGAUGGCUAUUAGAGACACUGACAUCAUUCAGGUGCAUUUUCAGUCAUCCUGACUUUUGUCUUGCCACAGGAUUUAGAUGACUCUGGAAGAAAGAGUGAGGCUGACAACUCUGGGCAACUCACUUAAAUCCAAUUCACAUAUAAGUUAAGAUAUUACCCUGUGAUGUCACUGGUAUUCUUUGAAAUGAAGGAUCACCACCACCACCACCAAUUGAUGGAACAUAUUUUUCAUUGACUGAAUCAUCCUUUUAUCUUCUUAAAUCUAGCUUUGUUUUAAACUGCCCUUGCAGCUGGCUAAUAUUUUCUUGUAGAUUCCAGAUGAUCAAUUUAUGAGGAAGCUCAAAAAUUAUCUAUUUAAUCCACUCAUUUUGUAGGUGAGGAAAAUGAAGCCCAGAGAAUACAUAUAGAUGACUAGCUCCCCUGCUAAGACUUCAAGUGUCUUGCCUCUAAAUCCAAUGCUCUAUGUUCUUACCUCUGCAUGAUAAUAUAGAGGGUCAUUAGCAACAGGAAGCAAUUAAAGGUUGCUGUUGCCUCUGGUUAAACCUAGGAAGAAACUUAUACUGUUCUACUCAUUGAAUUAUUCAUAUUCUUAGAUAUCACAAUUAAAAAAGAACAAGUAGAAGAAUUAGUAGAAGAGGAGAUCAGCAGUGGCAAACCUGCAAUGGGAAAAGCUCUAAUGCAGUUUUCCUGGUUUUGCAAUGUCCAAGGGUACAAUUGGAGGAACUUCUUUUGUUUUAAAAAACAUGAUAAACAAGUAAAGAAUGUGCGCAAGCAGGAAGAAACUGACCUAAAGCUGCUGGUGUCUGACUGGACAGAAACUCAAGUUGGCCAUUGGUUAAAGAGUAUUGGAAUGAAAAAAUAUAUCCUGAAAUUUGAUUAUAAAAGAAUAAGAGGUCAAGAACUUCUUGAAUUAGACAAUGAUGCAUUAAAAUGCAUUGGAAUCACUAAGAAGAGAGAUCGCAAGAAAAUCCUUAAGGGAAUUAAGAAAAUUCAACAGACAGAAAAAAAUUAAUACAAUCUAACAAUUAAAUAUAUCAAAAAGAUAAUUCUGGAAGAUACAGCAAAAAUGAGAAAAAUAUAAUUACAUGAUAUUUACCUUUAA